GUUUCCGUGGUGUAGUGGUCAUCGUUUGCCUCUCCUGCCUUAAAAGGUCCCCAGUUCGAAACUGGGCGGAAACA